UACGUAGGCAGCAAGCGUUGUUCGGAGUUACUGGGCGUAAAGAGUGCGUAGGCGGUCCUUUAAGUUUGGUGUGAAAUCUCCCGGCUCAACUGGGAGGGUGCGCCGAAAACUGGAGGGCUUGAGUGUGGGAGAGGCAAGCGGAAUUCCAGGUGUAGCGGUGAAAUGCGUAGAUAUCUGGAGGAAUACCGGUGGCGAAGGCGGCAUCCUGGACCGGCAUUGACGCUGAGGAGCGAAAGCCAGGGGAGCAAACGGG
rnacentral:rRNA from 1 species